CGUAAGCUGUCGCUAUGGGGAGUGGCCCCGCGGUGCAUUAGCUAGUUGGUAAGGUAAAGGGCUUACCAAGGCGAUGAUGCAUAGCCCGAGUUGAGAGACUGAUCGGCCACAUUGGGGACUGAGACACGGGCCCAAACUCCUACGGGAGGCAGCAGUAGGGAAUCUUCCACAAUGGACGCAAGUCUGAUGGAGCAAACGCCGCGUGGGUGAAGAAGGUUUUCGGAUCGUAAAGCUCUGUUGUUGGUGAAGAAGGAUAGAGGUAGUAACUGGCCCUUUAUUUGACGGUAAUCAACCAGAAAGUCACGGGCUAACUACGUGCCAGCAGCCGCGGUAAAU
rnacentral:rRNA from 1 species